rnacentral:rRNA from 1 species
UAGGGAAUCUCCGGCAAUGGACGAAAGUCUGACCGAGCAACGCCGCGUGAGUGAAGAAGGUUUUCGGAUCGUAAAACUCUGUUGGUAGAGAAGAACGUUGGUGAGAGUGGAAAGCUCAUCAAGUGACGGUAACUACCCAGAAAGGGACGGCUAACUACGUGCCAC